ensembl:lncRNA
GGGGGGGGGGGGGGGGGGGCGGGAACCUGCAUGGCUCAUAUAGAAAUCCUAAACAGAGAUGAUAUUUGUCUCAUAGAUGUAUUGCGUUAAUUUAAUAGUUUCCCUUUGAUAUGUAGAGGAGAGUUCAGUGACGUCCGUGACCAGGGCUCUGUCUGACCUCAGCACCAGAGAGGAAGAAGACAUGGCGUACCUGGAGAGACGCUACCAGGACAGGUUUCUGUUUCAGAUGAAGGCUGAGAAAAUGGCAGUCAAACAGAAGGCAUCAUCAUCAAGAGGAAGACCAUCCACCAAACCAGCCAGCCUACCAUCCACCAAACCAGCCAGCCUACCAUCCACCAAACCAACCACCUCCCUAUGCAGUAAGCAACCUACCAAACAGCCUACCAAAUAAUUGACCAAACUGGAGAAGAGGACGAACAGUUAGCUAACACACUUAGUUUAAUGAGGUAUUCCAUUCCAUACAGAUAAUGAUAUAAUUGCACUAUGGAUAAUAGAUAAUCAAACAGUCUCACCUGGGAAAAUGAUCAUUAGAUCAUAAACAUCAAGGCUUUUGUGAUGUUUCCAAGAUCAAUUGACAAUAAAUGUUCAAAUCCAUGUUGAUUCUUUAACCACCUUCCACUCGGACCUCAUUCUCAGGGUUUCUUUUGUUUUAAUUUGUUGAUAGUUUCACCUCACUAAAUAACACUGGUUCUACCUGCACUGUACCAUUCAAAAACAGCAUAUGGAAAAUGGGUUCAUUUUAUUGAUCAGGAUGCCCUUACUGUAAUCAACUACAGAUAAAGACAUGGAAAGCCAAGUGGCCAAUCAGUGUCAUGCUAGCAAUUUAAUUAACAAAAAGCCAAGGAUGAACACACACACACACACACACACACACACACACACACACACACACACACACACACACACACACACACACACACACACACACACACACACACACACACACACACACAGAGACUGGCAGAGGACUGAGGAUGUGUCUAUAUAACAGUGCAUCCUAGUACUCACUAAAAAUCGACUAAUGUGGUCAAGAAAUCAACUAAUUUCCUCAUCAAUUAACUGAUCGAUCCAAUCAGUGCACUAGUUUGAGUGUGGACGUUUAGCACAGGGUCAGUCACAGUUAUUAACAGUUUUGUUACAACCCAAAUUGUUACAACCUAAAUGGCACCCUAUUCCCUAUAUAGUGCACUACUUUUGACCAGGGCCUAUGGGGAUCCAUAGGGGCCUAUGGGCUCUUGUCAAAAGUAGUGCACUAUACAGGGAACAGGGUGCCAUUUGGGACGUAGGCCUUGGAAUAUUGAUUUGCUCAGUCCUUUGGACGUUUCUAAACUCAGAAAAAAAAGAAACGUCCUCUCAGUCCGAUGAUGCUGUGACACACCGCCCCAGACCAUGACAGACCCUCUACCUCCAAAUCGAUCUCACUCCAGAGUACAGGCCUCAGUGUAAUGCUCAUUCCUUUGACGAUAAACACAAAUCUGACCAUCACCCCUGGUGAGACAAAGCCGCGACUCGUCAGUGAAGUUCACUUUUUGACAGUCCUGUCUGGUCCAGCGACGGUGGGUUUGUGCCCAUAGACGACGUUGUUGCCGGUGAUGUCUGGUGAGGACCUGCUACAACAGGCCUACAAGCCCUCAGUCCAGCCUCUCUCAGCCUAUUGCGGACAGUCUGAGCAGUGAUGGAGGGAUUGUGCAUUCCUGAUGUAACCCGGGCAGUUGUUGUUGCCAUCCU